rnacentral:rRNA from 1 species
UAGGGAAUCUUCCACAAUGGACGCAAGUCUGAUGGAGCAACGCCGCGUGAGUGAAGAAGGCUUUCGGGUCGUAAAACUCUGUUAUUGAAGAAGAACGUGUGUGACAGUAACUGGUCAUGCAGUGACGGUAUUCAAUCAGAAAGUCACGGCUAACUACGUGCCAGCAGCCGCGGUAAUACGUAGGUGGCAAGCGUUGUCCGGAUUUAUUGGGCGUAAAGCGAGUGCAGGCGGUCUUUUAAGUCUGAUGUGAAAGCCUUCGGCUUAACCGAAGAAGGGCAUCGGAAACUGGGAGACUUGAGUGCAGAAGAGGAGAGUGGAACUCCAUGUGUAGCGGUGAAAUGCGUAGAUAUAUGGAAGAACNCCAGUGGCGAAGGCGGCUCUCUGGUCUGUAACUGACGCUGAGGCUCGAAAGCGUGGGUAGCAAACAGGAUUAGAUACCCUGGUAGUCCACGCCGUAACGAUGAAUACUAAGUGUUGGAGGGCU